rnacentral:rRNA from 1 species
GUUGAACGCUGGCGGAAUGCUUUACACAUGCAAGUCGAGCGGCAGCACGGGGGCAACCCUGGUGGCGAGCGGCGAACGGGUGAGUAAUACAUCGGAACAUGCCCAGUCGUGGGGGAUAACACUUCGAAAGAAGUGCUAAUACCGCAUACGUCCUGAGGGAGAAAGCGGGGGAUCUUCGGACCUCGCGCGAUUGGAGUGGCUGAUGUCAGAUUAGCUAGUUGGUGGGGUAAAGGCCUACCAAGGCAACGAUCUGUAGCUGGUCUGAGAGGAUGAUCAGCCACAAUGGGACUGAGACACGGCCCAGACUCCUACGGGAGGCAGCAGUGGGGAAUUUUGGACAAUGGGGGCAACCCUGAUCCAGCCAUUCCGCGUGAGUGAAGAAGGCCUUCGGGUUGUAAAGCUCUUUCGGCAGGAACGAAACGGCGAGCUCUAACAUAGCUUGCUAAUGACGGUACCUGAAGAAGAAGCACCGGCUAACUACGUGCCAGCAGCCGCAGUAACAC